GACGAACGCUGGCGGCGUGCUUAACACAUGCAAGUCGAACGAAGAGCGAUGGAAGCUUGCUUCUAUCACUCUUAGUGGCGAACGGGUGAGUAACGCGUAAUCAACCUGCCCUUCAGAGGGGGACAACAGUUGGAAACGACUGCUAAUACCGCAUACGAUCUAAUCUCGGCAUCGAGGAUAGAUGAAAGGUGGCCUCUACAUGUAAGCUAUCACUGAAGGAGGGGAUUGCGUCUGAUUAGCUAGUUGGAGGGGUAACGGCCCACCAAGGCGAUGAUCAGUAGCCGGUCUGAGAGGAUGAACGGCCACAUUGGGACUGAGACACGGCCCAGACUCCUACGGGAGGCAGCAGUGGGGAAUCUUCCGCAAUAGACGAAAGUCUGACGGAGCAACGCCGCGUGAGCGAUGACGGCCUUCGGGUUGUAAAGCUCUGUUAAUCGGGACGAAAGGCCUUCUUGCGAAUAGUGAGAAGGAUUGACGGUACCGGAAUAGAAAGCCACGGCUAACUACGUG
rnacentral:rRNA from 1 species